rnacentral:rRNA from 1 species
UGGUCGGUCGGCCUACCAGGCAUUGACGGGUAGCUGGUCUGAGAGGAUGGCCAGCCACAUUGGGACUGAGAUACGGCCCAGACUCCUACGGGAGGCAGCAGUGGGGAAUAUUGCGCAAUGGCCGAAAGGCUGACGCAGCGACGCCGCGUGGGGGAUGAAGCAUUUCGGUGUGUAAACCCCUGUUGCUCGGGACGAACAACUGGUUUCGACCAGUCUGACGGUACCGGGUGAGGAAGCACCGGCUAACUACGUGCCAGCAGCCGCGGCCG